CAGCAGCCGCGGUAAUACGGAAGGUCCAGGCGUUAUCCGGAUUUAUUGGGUUUAAAGGGUGCGUAGGCCGUUUGAUAAGCGUGCUGUGAAAUAUAGUGGCUCAACCUCUAUCGUGCAGCGCGAACUGUUGAACUUGAGUGCGUAGUAGGUAGGCGGAAUUCGUGGUGUAGCGGUGAAAUGCUUAGAUAUCACGAAGAACUCCGAUUGCGAAGGCAGCUUACCGUAACGUUACUGACGCUUAAGCACGAAGGUGCGGGUAUCGAACAGGAUUAGAUACCCUGGUAGUCCGCACAGUAAACGAUGGAUGCUCGCUGUUGGCCUUUGUGGUCAGUGGCUUAGCGAAAGCGUUAAGCAUCCCACCUGGGGAGUACGCCGGCAACGGUGAAACUCAAAGGAAUUGACGGGGGCCCGCACAAGCGGAGGAACAUGUGGUUUAAUUCGAUGAUACGCGAGGAACCUUACCCGGGCUUGAACUGCAGCUGAACGAUUCAGAGAUGAUGAGGCCCUUCGGGGCAGCUGUGGAGGUGCUGCAUGGUUGUCGUCAGCUCGUGCCGUGAGGUGUCGGCUUAAGUGCCAUAACGAGCGCAACCCCUUUUCUUAGUUGCCAUCAGGUAAUGCUGGGCACUCUGGGAAUACUGCCACCGUAAGGUGUGAGGAAGGUGGGGAUGACGUCAAAUCAGCACGGCCCUUACGUCCGGGGCUACACACGUGUUACAAUGGCGCAUACAGAGUGUUGGUUUCAUGCAAAUGAGAUCUAAUCUUCAAAGUGCGUCUCAGUUCGGACUGGGGUCUGCAACCCGACCCCACGAAGCUGGAUUCGCUAGUAAUCGCGCAUCAGCCAUGGCGCGGUGAAUACGUUCCCGGGCCUUGUACACACCGCCCGUCAAGCCAUGAAAGCCGGGGGCGCCUGAAGUCCGUGACCGCAAGGGUCGACCUAGGGUGAAACUGGUGAUUGGGGCUAAGUCGUAACAAGGUAGCCGU
rnacentral:rRNA from 1 species